rnacentral:rRNA from 1 species
AUUAACGCUAGCGGCAGGCAUAAUACAUGCAAGUUGAACGGCAGCACAGGUAGCAAUACUGGGUCGGCGAGUGGCGCACGGGUGCGUAACACGUAUGCAACCUACCCUAUACAGGCGAAUAACCUUUAGAAAUGAGGGCUAAUACGCCGUAGUAUUACAGAUGGGCAUCUAUUUGUAAUUAAAGAUUUAUCGGUAUAGGAUGGGCAUGCGUCCCAUUAGUUAGUUGGUAAGGUAACGGCUUACCAAGACGAUGAUGGGUAGGGG